AAAAAAAAAAAAAAAAAAAAAGGGUCUUUGCUGUCACAAUUAAGCCUCUCAACAUGAGAUCAUCCUGGAUUGUUUAGAUGGGCCCUAAAUAUCACAACUAGAGUUUUGUUGUUGUUGUUGUUGGUUUGUUUCUUUGUUUUUGUGACGGAGUCUCACUCUAUCACCCGGCUGGAGUGCAGUGGUGUGAUCUUGGCUCACUGCAACCUCCACCUCCCGGGUCCAAGCGACUUUCCUGCCUCACCGUCCUGAGUAGCUGGGAUGACAGGUGCCCCCACCACACCCAGCCUAAUUUUUGUAUUUUUAGUAGAGACGGGGUUUCACCAUGUUGGCCAGGCUGGUCUCGAACUCCUGACCUCAAGCGAACAACUAGCAUUUUUAUAAACUACAGAAGACGGUGGCUAUUCAUCUGCCCCCUCUCUCCUGGGUAUUUGCGUGUCAGGUGCAGAGAUGGAGUCUUCUGAGGGCGCACAUCACAGCGUAGACAGAAAGUUGAGGUUGUACAUGCCGCAGGUUCCAGAUGGAAAUCACUAGUGCCUCCUCUUCUCUCUAAUAGGCACACUAGACACAGCAGGUGCAUUUUGGCGGUGGGAUGAGGUCCGACAGUCACCUUUAUUUUUUAUUUAUGUAUUCAUUAGUAUUAUUAUUUUUUGAGACUGAGUCUUAAACUGUCACCCAGGCUGGAGUGCAGUGGCGGCAUCUCGGCUCACUGCAACCUCCACUUCCCAGGUUCAAGGGAUUCUCCUGCCUCAGCCUCCUGAGUAGCUGGGAUUAUAGGCGCCCAUCACCAUGCCCAGCUAAUUUUUGUAUUUUUAGUAGGGACGGGGUUCGCCAUGUUGGUGAGGCUGGUCUCCAACUCUUUUUUUUUUUUUUUUUUUUUUUUGAGACGGAGUCUCGCUGUCUCCCAGGCUGGAGUUCAGUGCCUCAAUCUCGGCUCACUGCAAGCUCCACCUCCCGUGUUCUCGCCAUUCUCCUGCCUCAGCCUCCCCAGUAGCUGGGACUACAGGCGCCCGCCACCACACCUGGCUAAUUUUUUGUAUUUUUAGCCAUGGGGUUUCACCAUGUUAGCCAGGAUGGUCUCAAUCUCCUGACCUCGUGAUCUGCCUGCCUCGGCCUCCCAAAGUGCUGGGAUUACAGACAUGUGCCACCACGCCUGGCUAAUUUUUUGUAUUUUUAGUAGAGAUGGGGUUUCACCGUGUUGGCCAGGCUGGUCUCGAACUCCUGACCUUGGAUGAUCUGCUCGCCUCGGCCUCCCAAAUUGCUGGGAUGACAGACGUGAACCACCGUGCCUGGCCGACAGUCACCUUUAGAAUGUGAACAGUGGACACUGUGUUGGGGUCUCCUACCUGUGCCUGUGAUGUGGACUGGCCCAUCUCGUCAUGGACAAGUAGAGAUGGGGUUUCACCAUGUUGAGCAGUCUGGUCUUGAACUUCUGACCUCGUGAUCCACCCGCCUCAGCCCCCCAAAGUGCUGGGAUUACAGGCGUGAGCCACCGCGCCCGGCCUGAGACGGCUUUCCAAGGCUGCAGAAAUGAAGUCUGCAAUAGCAGAUCCUCUUUGCCUGGGUUUGCACGUGAUCCAGCAAACCACCCACCGACCCGUUGCCUCAUGUGAGACAUCCUCAGGGAACAGCAAGUCUCGCUGUUCUUGGAAGGGACUUCCAGCCUGGAAAGAAAAGGGAGGGAUAAGAGAGCAUCUGUGGAUCUUCCUGGCAUAUUCCUUCUCCUACAAGAAUUUUGAAGGUCCCUGAUAAGACAUCUUUGAGGUCAGGCAUAAAUCAUCACUUCACAUCUUGACGGCAAUGCAACGAAGACAAGUAUCUGUCUCUUUGGGUCUGUCUAACAAGGAGCAAAGCCUGGCCUCCCACCAGCAUCCAGACAAUAGUGGAUUCCCUCUCCAUAGAUGUCAAAAAAGAAACAGAUGCUCCCGCAGGUGAAAUGAGCUCUGGUCCACAAUGCAACGCAGGCUGUGCAGAAAAUCAAAGAGGAACCAACCCAGAAGUAUCCCCCAGGACAAAUCAUUAAGGGGGAAAAGGACAAUCCAUGUCCAUUUACCUGUGUUCUGUGAGACAGAUGAAGCCUGGACUUCUGCUAUCCUGCCCUUGCUGGGAAUGAGCAGGGUUGUACCUGCACUCAUCAUGGAAUAAGCACUAAAGAAACAAAGCUACAACAGAAGAUGUCCUCUACUGCAGGGCACCUUACAUUCCAAUCCUCCAAUAUGGCAGCGAGUCAAAAUCUCAAAAGACCUGAGUGCCUUCUGCGUAAGUCCCCGUAGGCUUCUAGUAUUCAUUUUACAAGUAUACUGAUGCUCUCAGUUGAUGCUGAGGGGGUGGCUGUUCAUGAAGAUGAUGGAAUUGGCUUCGGCAGAGGUCUCUCUUUGACCAUCUAGAGGCACUGUUGCUUAUCUAUCAGGAAACGGAGGGAGGCACUGGGAAUUUGAACUCGAGCUCUGGAGUUCUUCCAUGCAGCUGUGUUUACGUAUCAUCAAGCACCGAUUCAUUGCCCGUUGGGACAGAGGAGAAUCAGGCCUGGUCUGGCAUCAUUGCCGGGUGGGUGUGAAAUGCCACUUCUACCGAGACCAACUGGAAAUGAAAGAUCGUCAACAGUCAAAAAGGUCACUGCAUAAAUGCCUGUGAAGUCCAAGUAACUGUCAGAGACAGAAUACGCUUUGCAGCGGAGAGUUUUCCAGGAAAGAAAAAUGGUCUCUGUGAAUGUUCUUUGGGAGGCCACGGAUGGCUUGUUCUGAAGUGAAUGGAAUUGCUUUGCAGAAGACGCAUAGCCAGGCUGAGUUCAGGAGGUAUCUCUUUUUUUUUUUUUUUUUUUUUUUGAGACGGAGUCUCGCUCUGUUGCCCAGGCUGGAGUGCAGUGGCACAAUCUCAGCUCACUGCAACCUCUGCUUCCCGGGUUCAAGCAAUUCUCCUGUCUCCACCUCCCGAGUAGCUGGCAUUACAGGCACUGCCACCAAGCCUGGCUAAUUUUUGUAUUUUUAGUAGAGAUGGAGUUUCACGAUGUUGGCCAGGCUAGUCUCGAACUCCUGACCUCAAGUGAUCCACCCACCUCAGCCUCUCAAAGUGCUGGGAUAACAGACGUGAGCCACUGCACCCGGCCCAGGAGGUGUCUUAAUCCAUUUGCUGUUGCUACAACAGAGUAACACCGUCUGGGUAAUUCACAGAAGAAGUUUAUUUUGUAAAGUCCUGGAGGCUGGCAAGUCCAAAAGGCAUGGUGCCUGCAUCUGAUGAGAGCCUCUUGCUAUAGUACAACAUAGUGGAGGACUUAUAAUGCCACCAGCUCUGUCCAUGUGGGCCUCGCUUUGAUGAUCUUACCUAAUUCUAAUUGUCUCCUAAGGGUGCCACUCCAAAUACUACAACAUACUAAUUUGAGAGAGAAGUUUCCAACACAUGAAGCUUGGGAGACACAAACCAUACAGGGUGGAGUCAAGACGGCUUGUUUAAUUCGGCCAACUUGAGCAAAGAGGCAUAAUGGUUAUUGCCUCUCUGGGUUCACUAAACACAUAAACAUGCCCACACUAAUAAUUCAUGUCGACCGCAGUACUCUCUGCUUUUCCUGAAUAGCAUAUUGUGUUGAACAGGUUAUACGACCUUGGGUAGAGACUUAGCUCUCUUUAAGCCUCCAUUUCUCAUCUGUAAAAUGAGAAUGAAAGAUGGUUUCUCCGUAUUUAUGGAAGGGUUCCAACAAGGUAAAGUGUGUAGCGUACUUUGUCAAUUCUAAAGCACUCUUCUGAUAUAAAUUAUAGCAUCCCCGGAUUCAUUGUUUGAGUUGGUUUCUUUUUUAAAAUUAAUUUCUGUUGUAUGUAUUUAAGGUGUGCAACAUGAUUUUUUGAUAUAGUGACAUAGUGAAAUGAUUAUAAUUGUUAAGAAAAUGAACACAGCUAUCAUCUCACAUAUUUACCUUUUUUGCGACAAGAGCACCUUAAAUCUACUCUCUUAACAAAAAUCCUAAAUAUGAAAUGUAUUAUAGUCCUUAUAUUUUGCAUUUGAUUUCUAGACUUAUUCUACAUCAUCUAUAACAACCACCAUUUUUUCUAUUUCUAUAUAUUUUCUUUCUUCCUUCCUUCCUUCUUUCCUUUCUUCCUUUUUUCUGAUAAGGAGUCUCGCUCUUUCGCCCAGGCUGGAGUGCAGUGGCGUGAUCUUGGCUCACUGCAAGCUCCGCCUCCCGGGUUCACGCCAUUCUCCUGCCUCAGCCUCCUGAGUAGCUGGGACUGCAGGCACCCACCACCAUGCCCAGCUAAUUUUUUGUAUUUUGUAUUUGCCUUCCUUUCUUUUUCAUUUCCUUCUUUCUGCCUUCUUUUCAUUCUUUUAUUUUUGUAGAUUCUUUAUAUAAGUGAGAUCCAAUACUUUUAACUGAAUGUGAACAUUUCUUUUACAAAAUAAAAUGUAUGUUCAGGCUUUUACUUAAUCCAUGCUAGUAAGAGCCUGGUUCAAAAAUGAGCUGCAGGUUUUUUCAAAGAGAAUCACAAUCAUUUCUGUGGAAUAGGUGAAGUGAAAGACAUUUUUAGAAAGUUUGCAUCUUUUUGCAGAGACUUUUAAUGAAGGGGUUUAUGUUUUCCGCUCUGUUCGUUUACUGAAAGCAAAAGAAGAAAAGUGAGGAAGGGAUUAUACAAAGAAAGUGACUGAAAAAUUCUGAAAAUAUCUGUUUUCAUAAGAUAAGAGCUUUAUUCUAGUUCUGAACAUAUAAUCAUAGUCAUCAUUGUCCUUAUUUAAAUAAAAACAGCUAGCUGGGCAACUUAGUCUCAUUGAAAUUCCUGAGAUCUUCAUUCUUUCUUGGUAUUUGGCUGAAAAAAGAAUAAGUUUAUCUCAUUCUUUUCCCAAAGUAUAGCACAAGGUUGAGAGCCUGGACUCGUGGCAUGCAUACCUAAUGAGACCGUUGUAUUACUUGGGGUGAAACUCCUUCCAUUUGACUUGAUGUAGUUAUUUUCUUUUUCUUGCAAGGGAAGCAAACUUUGGGUUCUACCUGGGUCUUCCUUAAGCAUCAGGUGUGUUUCAAAUGGAUAGAUUUAAUAAUAAUUGAUCCACUAAUAAUUGAUCCACUGGGCAAUGAUUUUUUAAAUGUUUGUUUUCAAAUUUAAAACAAUGCCUCAAGUUUAGAAAUGCCUCUCCUCGGCCGGGC
rnacentral:lncRNA from 10 species